GAAGCCGGAGCUUGCUCUGGUGGAUUAGUGGCGAACGGGUGAGUAACACGUGAGUAACCUGCCCUUGACUCUGGGAUAAGCGUUGGAAACGACGUCUAAUACCGGAUACGAGCUGAGAUCGCAUGAUCAUUAGCUGGAAAGAACUUCGGUCAAGGAUGGACUCGCGGCCUAUCAGUUAGUUGGUGAGGUAAUGGCUCACCAAGACGACGACGGGUAGCCGGCCUGAGAGGGUGACCGGCCACACUGGGACUGAGACACGGCCCAGACUCCUACGGGAGGCAGCAGUGGGGAAUAUUGCACAAUGGGCGCAAGCCUGAUGCAGCAACGCCGCGUGAGGGACGACGGCCUUCGGGCUGUAAACCUCUUUUAGCAGGGAAGAAGCGAAAGUGACGGUACCUGCAGAAAAAGCACCGGCUAACUACGUGCCAGCAGCCGCGGUAAUACGUAGGGUGCAAGCGUUGUCCGGAAUUAUUGGGCGUAAAGAGCUCGUAGGCGGUUUGUCGCGUCUGCUGUGAAAACGCGAGGCUCAACCUCGCGCCUGCAGUGGGUACGGGCAAACUAGAGUGCGGUAGGGGAGAUUGGAAUUCCUGGUGUAGCGGUGGAAUGCGCAGAUAUCAGGAGGAACACCAAUGGCGAAGGCAGAUCUCUGGGCCGUAACUGACGCUGAGGAGCGAAAGCAUGGGGAGCGAACAGGAUUAGAUACCCUGGUAGUCCAUGCCGUAAACGUUGGGAACUAGAUGUAGGGACCAUUCCACGGUUUCUGUGUCGCAGCUAACGCAUUAAGUUCCCCGCCUGGGGAGU
rnacentral:rRNA from 1 species